rnacentral:lncRNA from 1 species
AAAAAAGAAAUAGAUAAAAUAAAACAACAAACCACAGAAGAAAUACGAAAAAUAGAAGAAACUAAAAAUAGUAGGAUUGCUGAAUUAGAAAAAGAACUACAAAUGCUAAAAGAUUUAUAUGAAAAGAGACAGAAAGAAAAAGAAGAAAAAGAUAAAGAACAAAAAUUAUUAAUUGAGAUAAAUCAAUUUAAAGAAAAAUAAAAAAUAAAAAAU